GGGUAGGGGAGGGGGGAGGGGACUUAGAGCUCGAUCAUUUGGGAUCUUAAGGGGGAGGGGGCGGGGCGAGCUACGCGACUGGGCUUAGGGUCGUUCUAAACGUAAACGUAAACGAUACGGUAAACCCUCAAAGAGUAUCUUGUUCGGUCCAAUGUAUUCUACUCGUGUCCUAAGUCGCGUCUCUAGAAACGCGUCUUCGAAAGCUUCGAAUUAUAACGUGUUGUCUCAUAUCUCUGAAAUAGCGUGACCACGUAGAAGGUAGUAGCAACAACGGUCCUUCAACAACUGUAUACCUUAUUUCUAAAAGUGAGUCGAGGAGUUCUCUCUUUCUAUAGAAACGACAUGGAACGUUUACUAUAAUACGUCUUAUCAUUCUUCCUACCGUACUCUAUAUAUGUACUCAAGAACUUCCAGUAGCGACGACGGAAUCUACUGGACAAGUGGUUGCCACUACUAAAACCUGCUUUACAACAUUUUUCUGACCAACUGUAUACCCUUCUAGCGUUCAACAAACCGUGGGUUCCUGUUGAGGAUUUCCUUCUUAUGUGGGCGUUCAAAUUCCUCGAUUUCAGCUUUUUUGGUCCACCUCUCGACCACCUCUUCCAAUAUAGCUCGAUGUUCGUAUACGACGCCCGUGGACAUCUACUCCGGUUCAACUACUCUCUUACGUUGUCACGAGAUUCGAAACAACUGUUGGACUUGUUUCUCAUACCUUUAAGCAUGAAUCCCUCGUCGUUACCUAUAUCGAAACACCUCCUCGACUUCCUUGUUGUAUCAUAAGACUCUUUGUGGUAACUUGUUAAGUUUUACAGACUUAGUGAGUCCCGGUGAGACCAUAGACUAAACUUCCUUCGUGAGGUACUCGUCCUCAAGUUCUGUCUCCGUCGAGUCCAGUCUAUAUCCUUUCGACUACUGAAGACGGUCUUCGAGCCUUAUCUACAUGGUUCCGUGCUCGGUAGAUUACCCCAACUCUUGAGGUCAGAGAGACUUCACGGACGAUGAAAAGGGGGUCAAAGUCGAUUACGAUUAAGACAGCUCUUCCCUGCUAGCUGACGUCACUACAUAAGUGCCCUUCCUCUACCUCCACUCGGACUCUGGGAGUUGCCGCCAAAAAGAAGUGCUCGGUGGUCCCCGUUGAAACUCGUCUUUUAUCUUCCCGUGGGAGGACCAUGAUUCUCCGUCUUCUAUCUCUUACCAUAUAGACAGGGAGUCGGACUUCGUGGGGGUGGGGGUGGCGGUGGGGGUGAGGGCAUAGGACUAUGUAAACUUGUCGGUGGUGGUGGCGGAGUCAUAGGAGGUAGUGGUCUCAGAUCGGGUGGUGGUGAAGGUGGAAGUUACGGCGGGGGUUAGGGUGGUGGUGGUGGUGGUGGUGGAAGAUGUCUACGUAAAUACGGUCAAGGACGAGAAGGUUACCCUCCUUACGGUAUAAAGGGUGGCAAAGGAGGUGGACAUUUGAUAGGGUACUAGUUGUACGGUGGCGGAAAGGGACCACGGGGUUUGGGAGGAGUGGGUCCAAAGGAACCUAAACCCCCAGGGAAGAUACCGGGCGGAAAGGGGAGCCGUGGGGUAGUUACUUGUCCUUUACUCUCAUCAAGCGAAUAGACGUCUAAUCAUCGCGGUCAGUCGGUCGUAUACUUUAGCUCCAUGUACCUCGAAACCUUUUGAACAGUAUCCAAAGCAAAGUAGGAGUUUCCUAUAUACCAAGCACUACUAAGUAGUGACAAUACACAACACCUCGAACCUUCCGACAGGGUCACAACAUGUAAAAUCAGUCAAUCGGACUAUAAUCGAACGCGUCUGUAAAUCAGUUCAACUGACUAGAUCAACAAGGGUCGAACCGGUACCUCAGUUUUGAUAUCUAAAGCUGUACAAACCUAAGACAACGAGACAGCCGGUCUGACUCGAGACUUUAGCACUGUCAGUUUCUGUCUAAGACAGACCGUACUGAACAACCAUUGAGCAAUAAUGGACAUAAGAGACCCUUUAACGACGCUGUCUUUUUAUGUAUCGACAAGAACACUACAAACCACGUCGGCACGUCCAUUAAGGUCACGAAAAAAAAACUCUUUCCAUUAAGAUCACGAAAUCGGAUGGGGUUGAACAAACCCUGAUUUCCGAAACAACAACAUUAAGAUCACGAACUACACUCUCCAUGAGACG
rnacentral:rRNA from 1 species